rnacentral:rRNA from 1 species
UACAGAGGUCCCAAGCGUUGUUCGGAUUCAUUGGGCGUAAAGGGUGCGUAGGCGGCGCGGUAAGUCGGGUGUGAAAUCUCGGGGCUUAACUCCGAAACUGCAUUCGAUACUGCCGUGCUUGAGGACUGGAGAGGAGACUGGAAUUUACGGUGUAGCAGUGAAAUGCGUAGAUAUCAUGAGGAAUACCAGAGGCGAAGGCGGCUACCUGGACAAUUGCUGACGCUCAGGCACGAAAGCGUGGGGAGCAAAAGGG